UAUUAUGUACAUCCCUACAAUGUUAAUGCAUUGGAUACCAACAAAACUCCAUAGUUAAGCAUGCUUGGGCUAGAGUAGUAUUGGGAUGAGUGACCUCCCGAGAAGUCCCUAUAGAAUUUUAUAAACU
rfam:Picea glauca, whole genome shotgun sequence.